UGAGCCGGCCGGGCGGCCGCGGCGGCGCGAACCACCUCAGCAUUGGGGUAGGCGCACGUCGAGGAAAGUCCGGACUCCACACGGCACGGUGGUUGCUAACAGCAACCCGGAGCGAUCCGCGGGAAAGUGCAACAGAGAGUAGACCGCCCCGCCUUGUGCGGGGUAAGGGUGAAAGGGUGCGGUAAGAGCGCACCGGCAUGCGUGGCAACACGUGUGGCCAGGUAAACCCCACCGGGAGCAAGGCAAGAACCCCUGCGCGUGCGCAGAGGUCGUCGGAUGUGAUGAGGCUGCCCGCCCAGUCCGAAGGUAGCUGCUUGAGGCGCCCAGCGAUGGGUGACCCAGAUGGAUGGUCGCCACUCCGCUUGCGGGGGACAGAAUCCGGCUCAUAGGCCGACUCAUUCG
rfam:Corynebacterium sp. HMSC08F01 Corynebacterium_spHMPREF3171-1.0_Cont425.2, whole genome shotgun sequence.